AUUGAACGCUGGCGGAAUGCUUUACACAUGCAAGUCGAACGGUAGAGGGGGCAACCCCUCGAGAGUGGCGAACGGGUGAGUAAUACAUCGGAACGUGCCCAGUCGUGGGGGAUAACGUAGCGAAAGUUACGCUAAUACCGCAUACGAUCUAAGGAUGAAAGCGGGGGAUCGCAAGACCUCGCGCGAUUGGAGCGGCCGAUAUCAGAUUAGGUAGUUGGUGGGGUAAAGGCUCACCAAGCCAACGAUCUGUAGCUGGUCUGAGAGGACGACCAGCCACACUGGAACUGAGACACGGUCAAGACUCCUACGGUGGGCAGCAGUGGGGAAUUUUGGACAAUGGACGCAAGUCUGAUCCAGCCAUUCCGCGUGCAGGAUGAAGGCCCUCGGGUUGUAAACUGCUUUUGUACGGAACGAAAAGGUCUCUCUUAAUACGGGGGGCUCAUGACGGUACCGUAAGAAUAAGCACCGGCUAACUACGUGCCAGCCGCCGCCGUAA
rnacentral:rRNA from 1 species